GCCAAGUGUAUGCCAGGCUGUGACACUGGCGACGAGGGGUGCCAGUGUUGUGGCAGCCAGGUCGGGGAGAAGCACGGCCGCUCUCGGAGGGGGAGGCGCCACUGAGGCUUCGCGUUGGACUCUUUGCGCUCGUUCCUUCCCGUGUUGUGCGCGGCAGUGAAGUGAGAGAAAGAAAAAGGAAUAACUAGAGAGGCAAGGAGAGGGAAGGAAAAGGAGUAGCGAGGAAGACUGGCGGACUGGGAGCAAAAGAACUAACUAGAGAGAUCGCGCAGGCUGAGACCUAGAGGGCAAAGGUGAGUUUCGAAAACAUUUACGAUUGUAUUUUAAAAAAGGAGACCCAUUAAGCUGGAGUCGUGUUUAUAUCUUAUUUAUUUUUUUAUUUUUUUUUUACUCCAUGCUGGGAAUCGUUACGAAAAAUAACCGGAUUUAGGGAGUGAAGUUAAUAAAAUCAGCUGGCAUGCAAGUAUAAUCUGUUCUGAACUACGCAGCGGCAUUAAAGAUAACGGGAAAUCUUUCGAGAGACGAAAAAAGAAAGAGGGAGGUGAGAUAAAGGAAAGUGAAGAAGGAAGAUAAUAGAGAAAGAAAUGAAUGGACAGUGGACAGAAAAACAAGAAAA